AUGCAGCUUUGGACGAUGGAGGGCGCGAUGGAGGCCAUCAGCGACAAGGUGAUCGUAGACCGCCUCGACAGCCGGACUCACGAGCGCGUCGACACCAAGCUGUUCGCGUGCUGGGUUUGGUGCUGGGAUACUGCCCACAUCCCCACGAAGCGCAUGAUCUGGAAGCACGCCCGGGGCGCCGGGCGCGUCGACGAGAUGGUGGGCUACCCCAUCCCCCCGAGCCGCGCUGUGGCGCCGCCGCCAGAGCUGCUGCAGUACGACCUGCUUCUUCACCUAGACCGCGUGGAAGACUGG
rnacentral:rRNA from 1 species